UACGUAGGGUCCAAGCGUUAUCCGGAAUCACUGGGCGUAAAGCGUGCGUAGGUGGCGUGUUAAGUGUGAUGUUAAAUCGCGGGGCUCAACCCUGUCGGUGCAUCGCAUACUGGCAUGCUAGAGGGAAGCAGAGGCAAGUGGAAUUUGUAGUGUAGCAGUGAAAUGCGUAGAUAUUACAAGGAACACCAAUGGCGAAGGCAGCUUGCUGGGCUUCUUCUGGCACUGAGGUACGAAAGCGUGGGGAGCGAACAGG
rnacentral:rRNA from 1 species